GUAGGUCCGGUAAGGACCGAUUUUGGCCUCAAAUUUCAGGUUCAUCUGACGAAAGAUUUUGACCACUUUUUAAACACUUAAGUGUCUAUUUUAUUUGAAUUACUUAGUUUAUGUGAAAGAUUUUAACAGAUUUAGUCAUUAAAAACGAUCCGAUUCAAGCUCAAAUAUGAAAAAUCUACCUAAUAUGCCGAAAAAUGUCACUUUUCAGAUGGUUUUUGGUAAAAAUGAAAGUGGCCGCAUCUGUGUUCAUCCUCAACCUUUAUAUAUGUUAUGUAUUAUCAUAAAAUACAACUUACUUUUCAAUAUUAAGGAUGAACACGAAUGCGGCCACUUUCGUUUUACACGAAAACCGUCUAAAAUUUAACUAAAAUGCUAGAAUUAUGAGGAUUUCAGUAAUUUAGCAUGACUUAAUGGUGCUAGUACCGGAUAUAUGUGCAUUGUAUUGUCAAAAACAGCCCAUAUGUAUGUAGCAGAAGCAUUCUACUGUCCAAUAAAUGACUAAAAGUUUGUAUUUAAACAAUUUUGUAAAACUGCUAUAUUUUGGGGCCAAAAAGGGGUCUUACUGAACCUACUCCUUUAAA
rnacentral:lncRNA from 1 species